rnacentral:tRNA from 2 species
GCCGAAGUGGCGGAACUGGCAGACGCACAGGACUUAAAAUCCUGCGGAGUUAACCCUCCGUACCGGUUCGAUUCCGGUCUUCGGCACCA